UGAUCCCCUGCCUAGGGUUUGGGUUUGGGUUCGAGUAACAGCAACAGAGCUAAAACACUUCCUUCCUCGUUCUUCGACGGACGGCCGCCACCACUGACGCCGCAGUGUGACGACCCGCCACUUAGCUAUGUCAAACCAAAGCGGACGUAUGUGCCCUGCGCGGGUUCGGCCCUGCUGACCGGUCGGGGUCUGUGCAAGCCGUAUCGUACGCACGCCACUAACGA
rnacentral:rRNA from 1 species